CGACGUACAUACCUCAGUUUCGCAGAAUCCGUCGUCGCGUUCACAUCCCUUUCCCGAAUUGGGACCUUUUCUAACAAGUCUACGUGACACACACCACGCAACAUCUUCGACAAACCCUGUGAUACAUUCUCUUUAUGAGACAGUGGUUUUACAUUGUUAUUAAUGUAAAACUUCGAACAUGCGGUGUUUUACCAUUUUAUCCAGACAGUUGCAAAAUUCUGUGAAAAUUAGUCACUCGAAACGUAAAAUAUUUGCUGCCAGAAAUUUGCAUUAAACAACGAUGAAUACUAAUUUUCGUAUGAAAAACAAUAGUCCGAUAAACGAAUGCGGUGUGUAAAAACAAGUGACUGUGAUAUGAUUUUGAAUAAAAUUGCGGAUAUAGUGACGAUGACGAUGAUAUAUUUCAAUGCCAAGUAAUAAGUAAGAAAUAGGCGAUCGUGAAUUAAAGGGAAUAAUAAACAAAUACGCGAAGUAACGUUGCAUGCGCUGCAUUUAAGAGUUUACAGAAAAUACUCCGGUCUCGCAAACUUCGUUGAACACCGUGAAAUGAAUAGUUGGUUGGAAUAAUAUGAGAACAAAGGGAAAAUUUUGAUGGUCGUAGAAUUCUUUUUCUCUUUUUAAACUUUCGACGAAGCUUGUGCACGCGAUAUUAUUCGCGAAUUGACCCCUUUAGUUUCGUCUGAGAAAAGUAAGAACAAAGCGACAAAAGCUUUCGCGUACUCAGACACCUCUCGGAAUUUGUCCAAAAUCAAAUCGAUUAAUCAUCUUCGGAAAUUUCACUUCCCGUUUUGUCGCACCAUAAACAAUGCGGAAGUGACGAGCGAAAAAAAGAAACGCACUGAGGUUUCCAUCGAAUAAAUCGAAAUCCUCCACAAUUGAUGCAAAUCCGACAGAUUUAUGACAAUUUAUAUUUCCGUUGCAGAACAUGCUGGAACGAAGUCGGAAACAUCGUGUCGAAUGCCAUGUUAAAAAUAUUUCGAACGUCUGUCACUUUUCCACAAGUCCACACUACGGUAACAUUCGAAUCUUGUGGAAAACAAACAUAAUAAUACCGUAUAACCGAAUUUGAAAUUAAAAGAAAUCAAUGGAAAAGUGAACCGUAAUUAGUGGAUUAUAAUAAGUGGACAAUUCGCAUAAUUUUUGUCCCACGAACAUCACGAAAUUGAAUUUCAUUAAUGCUAAACCAUGAGCCGCAUAAUAAACGGUGCUAGAAUGGUUUUGACACCCUUCUGAUUAAUUGACAUGUUGGUUGUCACUGCCGAUUCCGACGCGCCAGAAAAACGUGAUAGAAAAACCCGUAAGAUUAGUAGCAUAAUCGAGUGGUUCUUUUUCUCUCAAACUUCGUGCGUCUCGGAGGGAAAUCAGAAAUCCAAAAAAUUCUUGUAGGAAAGUUUUCACGGCGAACCAACAGAAUUUCGAGUUUGUAUCGAGAAUCUGAAACGCGAAUACGAUGCUUUUAGCGCUUUUAACCGAAAUUUAUUAGCGGAGGCUAAUGAUUUUUCGAGCGGAACGACGAUACGAUCAAUUAAUAGACAUCGUACAAUUGCGUUACGAUCCGUACUAUAAACUGCACCAUGGUGUCGUAACGCCACAGUAACUUCUACUCAAGUACAAUUAAAAUUUCGAUUAAAUUAUAGUUUCCGAGCGAUGCUUCGUUAAACUUAACAGCAAUGUUCAUUUUACUUGUGGAGAACACGAUCCAGAAGAUUUUUUCUAUUUAAUCGCGGAUCGAAAAUCAACACGAUCGAUUCGUCGUUGACUUCUGUAUUAACUUUUACGAGAAAAAUUCCUUUCGCCACUUUCGAACGAUUUCAUCGCUAUCCUGUAAUUAAAUUUAAUCUCGAACUUUCCCUCUAAAGCUCGGUCAGACGUUAGAAGUAAAAUCGAAAAAAGGAGGGAAACCGUGGGACAAUACUUUCGUUCAAACGAGAUAAAACGCAUCCCACCGAGGUACUUCUCGAUUUUCCAAUUCUCGUGGACACUGCUUUCUUUUUUCACGAAAGAAUAAGGCAAAAACUUACCAUAGUAUCGACUCGAUAGCAAAUUUAUCGUCUAUCCGCAGACUGGAAAAUCUGGUAGAAGAGGAAGAAAAGAAGAGGACCGAAGCAGGGUGAACUCAAGAAUCAUUUUCUAUUUGUCGAGCCAUUAGUCGGAAGAAAUUCAUUAGACAAUUCGACGCUUGGGAAAUCGGAACACGUGACGGCCAAAACUUUCUUUGUUAGUCCUGGUUUUCAUUUCGGUGCCAAAGAAGUCUCUUUCCUACAGUAGAAACAGGGGAAGAAGAACGAUCCAUUCAGUAAUCUAUCUAAACCAUUCUACCAAGAAUCAAGUGUUCUGGUGGUUUGCGAUAUUAAUUGUAUGGAAACAGGCGCAUCAAUAAUCAAUAUUAGCAGAUGACGCUGAUAAAGAAAUAGAACAAGCAGAGUCGUCUUUAAUAUCAUGGAAAUCGGAGACAAGUAAAUGUCAUUCGGUCGUAACAGAGGAAACGAGGCGAAUCGAACCGAAGCGACAACUAUUUCUCCCUUUUCUUCAUCCCUGAAUGCUAAACGUUUAUUGAAGAAACGUCGAACGUGAGAACGUUCGAAAUGAAGACUGAAAGCAGCAGUAGUCUGUAAAAAAGGAAGUUGUUUGCUGAACUCUCCCUAGGAGGGUUCAUGCUUUUCGAUAUCAAUAACGUAUAAAGGAUCCUUAACAAAGAAAAAGAAAGAUGCAUCCUCUCGAGUUAGUGAUCGUAGGAUGGCUGGCAUUGGUAAUAUCCACAUUGGUCGAUGCCAUCGAUUAUUUGGAUGACUACUCAGCGAUGGAUUACACCGACGAAUCGGACAUCGAUUACAAUGCCACGAAUUGCACCAAUAGUUAUUGUAUCUCAAACGAAGAGUACGUGGAUCGUAUGAUAAAUUAUAUAUUCCCCAAGUUUUGGGACUGGGUGUUGAUCGCGUCGCAUAGCGUUGUUUUCGUGGUCGGCCUAAUCGGGAAUGCGCUAGUUUGUAUCGCGGUUUACAGGAACCAUUCCAUGAGAACGGUGACAAAUUAUUUUAUUGUCAAUUUGGCUGUGGCCGAUUUCCUAGUUUUAUUGCUUUGUCUUCCGUUCACCGUACUGUGGGACAUCACCGAGACCUGGUUUCUAGGUUUGACCUUGUGCAAAGCCGUGCCAUAUCUCCAGACAGUGUCCGUGACCGUGAGCAUAUUGACCCUAACUUUUAUAUCGAUAGAUCGAUGGUACGCUAUAUGCUUUCCCCUGAGAUUUAAGUCUACCACUGGACGAGCAAAAAGUGCGAUCAUUGGAAUUUGGGCGAUAGCCCUUCUAUUUGAUAUUCCAGAUCUCGUGGUAUUGCAUACCGUCCCACCUACGCACAUCAAAAUAAAGACCGUUUUAUUCACGCAAUGCGACAUAUCCUGGAGUCAAAGGAGCCAGGUCGCCUUUACUAUCGUCAAACUAAUUUUCCUUUAUACCGGACCUUUGAUCUUCAUGAGCGUAGCCUAUUGGCAGAUUGUAAAAGUCCUUUGGAGGAGCAACAUUCCAGGACAUAAUUUACCGUCACGAGCAUCCCAGAUGAGCCAGAUUCCAUCGACCAGUGGCGGAAAUCCGGAAGUGCAGCUGAGAUCCCGGCGAAAGGCGGCAAAAAUGUUAGUCACAGUGGUCAUCACAUUUGCGAUUUGCUAUUUCCCUGUGCACUUACUCUCCGUUUUAAGGUAUACCACCACAUUACCAUCCAAUAAAUGGAUAAACGCCAUCAGCUUAAUCGCGCAUGGCCUAUGCUAUUUCAAUAGUGCAGUUAAUCCUCUGAUCUACAACUUCAUGAGCGGUAAGUUCCGGCAGGAGUUUGGUCGUACAUUCCGAGAAUGCACGCCUUUGAACCCCACGAACGAUCGCAGGCCAAACCAGCAACCCAGCUACGCUUACAUGGCAAACGAAUGUCGAUCUGCAUCGCAAAGUCGUCGUGAACAAUUCUGACAUGCGGAAAUACGAGUCUCUUGGGUGAAAAAAGUCCCUAAUACAAUCUUGGAAGGAACUCAGGCCGAAAACGAAUCUGUCCAGGAUCGAUGUAGCCUUGGGUUUUGUCCUCCGCAAUCUCAAUUACGCUUAGGGGAAAUUUCGGAAGGCGUUUAGGCGUACAUUUCGCUGUGCUCAAGAGAAUGGUUCUCGAAUACAGCGUGGAUAUCUUGCGAGCACAUCUAAUUUCCCUCGAAUAAAAUCUCGGACCACGACGAUACGGACGACGUUUAAG